UACGUAGGUCGCAAGCGUUGUCCGGAUUUACUGGGCGUAAAGCGCGCGCAGGCGGCUGGUCAAGUCCGAUGUGAAAUCUCCCGGCUCAACUGGGAAACUGCAUUGGAAACUGAUCGGCUUGAAGGUGGGAGAGGGUAGUGGAAUUCCCGGUGUAGUGGUGAAAUGCGUAGAUAUCGAGAGGAACACCAGUGGCGAAGGCGACUACCUGGCCCAUUCUUGACGCUGAGGCGCGAAAGCUAGGGGAGCGAACGGG
rnacentral:rRNA from 1 species